rnacentral:rRNA from 1 species
CCCGCUGAACUUAAGCAUAUCAGUAAGCAGAGGAGAAGAAAUCAACCGAGAUUUCCCCAGUAACUGCGAGUGAAAAGGAAUGUGCUCAGCGCCAAAGCCCUGGUUCUUCGGAUCAGAGCGGUGUGGCGUUCGGAGAGUCUCAUCCUCGGCACCUCGGCGGUCUAAAUUUCGCUGGAACGCGAUUGCAGAGAUGGUUUCACACCAGUCUGUCCGCCUGGAGUCGGGGAGUCGGCCCUUCAGGAGUCGGGUUGUUUGGAAACACAGCCCAAAGCGGGUGGUAAACUUCACCUAAAGCUAAAUAUGGCUACGAGACCGAUAGCAAACAAGUACCGUGAGGGAAAGUUGAAAAGCACUUUGAAAAGAGAGUGCAAGAGAACGUGAAACCGUUAUAGUGGAAGCGGAUGGAGCCGACGUAUCCGGUACGUAUUCAGCUGGUGAGCGGGGUGAUCUGCCGACCAGGAUUCCGCAAGGUUCCUGCUGGUGGUCGUCAUUCAGCACGCCAGUGCACUUGCGUACAGAGUGCGCCGAGUCGGUCGGUCGCGCCGUUCGAUGGGUGUCUAGAGGACCAGCUUGCUGGAAUCCUGAACGCUCGGAGGACGGAUGUGGCUGGCUGUUUGGUGGGUGCAAACUCCCAACUCGGCGUCCAGUCGGUCACCCAUUUGACCCGUCUUGAAACACGG